GUGAGUCAUCGAAUCUUUGAACGCACAUUGCGCCCGCCAGUAUUCUGGCGGGCAUGCCUGUUCGAGCGUCAUUUCAACCCUCAAGCUCCGGCUUGGUGUUGGGGAUCGGCAGCCCGGCUUCGCGCCGACGCCGUCCCCCAAAUGCAGUGGCGGUCACGCUGUAGCUUCCUAUGCGUAGUAACACACCUCGCACUGGAGAGCAGCGCGGCCACGCCGUAAAACCCCCAACUUUUUGUGGUUGACCUCGAAUCAGGUAGGACUACCCGCUGAACUUAAGCAUAUCAAUAAGCGGAGGA
rnacentral:misc_RNA from 1 species